rnacentral:rRNA from 1 species
GACGAACCGAGCGAACGUUGUUCGGAAUCACUGGGCUUAAAGGGCGCGUAGGCGGCCACCGCAAGUCAAUUGUGAAAUCUCGGGGCUUAACUCCGAAACUGCAUUCGAUACUGCCGUGCUUGAGGACUGGAGAGGAGACUGGAAUUUACGGUGUAGCGGUGAAAUGCGUAGAUAUCGUAAGGAAGACCAGUGGCGAAGGCGGGUCUCUGGACAGUUCCUGACGCUGAGGCACGAAGGCCAGGGGAGCAAACGGG